CCUACGGGGGGCAGCAGUGGGGAAUAUUGGGCAAUGGGCGAAAGCCUGACCCAGCAACGCCGCGUGAAGGAAGAAGGCUUUCGGGUUGUAAACUUCUUUUGACAGGGAAGAGCAGAAGACGGUACCUGUCGAAUAAGCCACGGCUAACUACGUGCCAGCAGCCGCGGUAAUACGUAGGUGGCAAGCGUUGUCCGGAUUUACUGGGUGUAAAGGGCGUGUAGCCGGGCUGACAAGUCAGAUGUGAAAUCCGGGGGCUCAACCCCCGAACUGCAUUUGAAACUGUUGGUCUUGAGUAUCGGAGAGGCAGGCGGAAUUCCUAGUGUAGCGGUGAAAUGCGUAGAUAUAUGGAGGAACACCGGUGGCGAAAGCGGCUCUCUGGCCUGUAACUGACACUGAGGCUCGAAAGCGUGGGGAGCAAACAGGAUUAGAUACCCCAGUAGUC
rnacentral:rRNA from 1 species